UCUAAUAUAAAAUAAGUUUUUCUUAAUAUUAGAACGAGAUAGAGAAGAUUAACAUGGUCUCUGCACAGGAUUGUAAACAAUUUGUGCCAUAGUCCAUAUUUUU